rnacentral:rRNA from 1 species
AUUGAACGCUGGCGGCAGGCCUAACACAUGCAAGUCGAACGGUAGCACAGAGAGCUUGCCCUCGGGUGACGAGUGGCGGACGGGUGAGUAAUGUCUGGGGAUCUGCCCGAUAGAGGGGGAUAACCACUGGAAACGGUGGCUAAUACCGCAUAACGUCGCAAGACCAAAGAGGGGGACCUUCGGGCCUCUCACUAUCGGAUGAACCCAGAUGGGAUUAGCUAGUAGGCGGGGUAACGGCCCACCUAGGCGACGAUCCCUAGCUGGUCUGAGAGGAUGACCAGCCACACUGGAACUGAGACACGGUCCAGACUCCUACGGGAGGCAGCAGUGGGGAAUAUUGCACAAUGGGCGCAAGCCUGAUGCAGCCAUGCCGCGUGUAUGAAGAAGGCCUUCGGGUUGUAAAGUACUUUCAGCGGGGAGGAAGGCGAUAAGGUUAAUAACCUUGUCGAUUGACGUCACCCGCAGAAGAAGCACCGGCUAACUCCGUGCCAGCCGCCGCUGUAA